AACGAACGCUGGCGGCAUGCCUAACACAUGCAAGUCGAACGAAGGCUCCGGCCUUAGUGGCGCACGGGUGCGUAACGCGUGGGAAUCUGCCCUUUGGUUCGGAAUAACAGCUGGAAACGGCUGCUAAUACCGGAUGAUGACGAAAGUCCAAAGAUUUAUCGCCGGAGGAUGAGCCCGCGUUGGAUUAGGUAGUUGGUGGGGUAAAGGCCUACCAAGCCGACGAUCCAUAGCUGGUCUGAGAGGAUGAUCAGCCACACUGGGACUGAGACACGGCCCAGACUCCUACGGGAGGCAGCAGUGGGGAAUAUUGGACAAUGGGCGCAAGCCUGAUCCAGCAAUGCCGCGUGAGUGAUGAAGGCCCUAGGGUUGUAAAGCUCUUUUACCCGGGAAGAUAAUGACUGUACCGGGAGAAUAAGCCCCGGCUAACUCCGUG
rnacentral:rRNA from 1 species